rnacentral:rRNA from 1 species
CCUACGGGUGGCAGCAGUGAGGAAUAUUGGUCAAUGGGCGGGAGCCUGAACCAGCCAAGUCGCGUGAGGGAAGACGGUCCUAUGGAUUGUAAACCUCUUUAGGCGGGGAGCAAUGCCGGGCACGCGUGCCCGGAGGGAGAGUACCCGCAGAAUAAGCAUCGGCUAACUCCGUGCCAGCAGCCGCGGUAAUACGGAGGAUGCGAGCGUUAUCCGGAUUUAUGGGGUGUAAAGGGUGCGUAGGCGGAUUUUUAAGUCAGCGGUAAAAUGUCCGGGCUCAACCCGGGCCGGCCGUUGAAACUGGGGAUCUUGAGUGGGCGAGAAGUAUGCGGAAUGCGUGGUGUAGCGGUGAAAUGCAUAGAUAUCACGCAGAACUCCGAUUGCGAAGGCAGCAUACCGGCGCCCGACUGGCGCUGAGGCACGAAAGCGUGGGGAUCGAACAGGAUUAGAUACCCCAGUAGUC